ensembl:lncRNA
CUGUUUUGUUAGAAUGAGUGCAUGGUUUGCCUUCUGAAUCUUAUAGCACUACAGAAAAGGAAAAGCUCAGUUGCAAAAUUCUGCAUCAGCAAUAAAGACUUCACUUACAUGUGAUUAAACUAAAGCAUAAUCAAAGGGGAAGAUCAUGUUUUCUUACAUCUACAGAUAAGACACUAAAUGGCCAGAGGCUGGAGACUGCCCAGCGCUGAAAGCUCUGGAUACCCUCUCCCCAAGCACUGCCUUCUCCUCCUGUCCGAGGGAGCUGGGCUGGGUGUGCAGACCUGGCACCACUCUGAUCCUAGCUGGAGGAGAGCUGGACUGACUCAUUCACUGCCUGUUCCUGCAAAGCAGAACCUCCUCGUGCCCAGGGCCCUGCAAAUGACUGAGCCAUUGAGGAGGAAACAUGCUUCACAGAAGGUGAAAGAACAAAGAAUGACUGUGUGGUGGAAGGUGCAACCUAAAGUGUUCAAGUCUGUCCUUUACUUCAUUUCAAGUGAAGAUUAGAACAUCAGUCUUCAACAUCCAGAGAGAAGAGCUAAAAUUUAGACUGAAAUAAUGCCUAAUAUUUUUUUUUUCUGCCAUACAAGAGAUGGAUGGAGACAUAAACAAGAAGAACUAGUAGCCAAGUAAAGUGGAACAGUUGCUGGAAUGUUGCACAAAAACCAUAAUGUAGAGUGGUAUGUAGGUCUGCCACAGUCCUGGGAAGUGCCCUCAUUAAAAUCUUUUUUAUGUUAUGCUGCAGAACUUGCUUUUCAUAUGAAACACUUGGAGAAUCUGGCUUAUGACCCAAGACAAAAUGAGAAAAAAAUAUGAAAUAUCCCAAAAUGUUGUAAUGUAGGAGAAUCACGUCCUGCACACCUUUACACUAGGAGAAUUGAAGGAUUUGUGACACUUGUGAAUCUAUGCUCCAGAAUGGACAUCUGCACACUGGAAAACACUAAUCCUUUUUAAAAUUUGACUUUUGCCUUGAAGCCUGUCCAGAAGCACAGAAACAGAGUUGUCCAAAGGUCACUCAAAAUUGUAUCAACAAGUGACAAAGUCUCUGGCAGUAAAAUGUUGAUUUUAUGGAAGGUGAUUGCAGACAUCAAUGCCUCAGUUUCUUAGUGUGUUGUACAUAAAAAGAGCAAAAUUCAUUUGCAUAGUCAAGUUUAUGUACCUGGAAAUGUGUAUGAGUUGGAAAUAUAUCUACUGAUGUGAUACCAACAUGAAGCUUUCAAGGGCUGAUUUUCAGUACACAUACAGUUAAACUUAUAUUUGAGGUUUAAGGAAGUCAAUAAAGUUUAAGUUAAUAAGACGUUGGUAAUAGGA